rnacentral:rRNA from 1 species
UACGUAGGUGACCAGCGUUGUCCGGAUUUACUGGGCGUAAAGAGCGCGCAGGCGGUCGUUCAAGUCGAGUGUGAAAGCCCCCGGCUCAACUGGGGAGGGUCAUUCGAUACUGAUCGACUCGAAGGCAGGAGAGGGUAGUGGAAUUCCUGGUGUAGCGGUGAAAUGCGCAGAUAUCAGGAGGAACACCAGCGGCGAAGGCGGCGCUCUGGGCCGGUACUGACGCUGAGGAGCGAAAGCGUGGGGAGCAAACAGG